CCACCUGCACAGGCCGUUUCUCAAGUAGUACUAGAUCUCUUCAAGCGCGAGAGUCAUCCACACACAUGUACAUUCACAGACACUUCUACUUGAGUCUACGCAUUAUGUGUGAUGCUUAGCUUAUCUAGGGCCAGUCCUGGCAGAUACAGAGGCAAAGCAACGCUCUGCCCUUGCUUGGACAUAGUCUGUCAUAGAGCGCUAUUAAUUUUGCAGCCAGGACCCUAGGCUAUGGCCACCAGCAUUCCCUUCCCAUGCAGUGCAUACUCUAGUGGCGUUUAGGUGUAGUCUACUGUAGUUGCCUCGUUGCUCCAGUUUCACCACCACAGUUGCGGCUGCAGCCACCUCUAAUCAUGCAGCGUUCUGUUUUCGAGUUUUCUAUUCUCUGUGGUCACUUCCGAGUCUUGACCGACACUACACAAUGUAUCAUGUAGAUCUACAAGUCGAUGCUGAUUGGCCGUCGGAUGGCAACAAGCAGGUGGCUAAGGAUUUCCGGACGAGACAGCAAGGUCGGCCCAAGAUCAGUGACCCUUUAAUCAAAAAAGGCGUCCUGCUGCCGCGACCAGAAACCCUACUGGGCCCUAGCCCGUAUGUCCAGGCGUGCUUCUGGCUGACGCUUAGCCGAGGCGGCAGAGAUGUCCUCACCGUGUAUGGGGAGCAAACCUGGCUCAAUCUCCACAUCGGGCAGUACCUCCUGCAGUACGCCGGCCAGGAGGUCCCGAAGCUCGUUGUGGCGACCUAUUACUAGUUACUACUAACGUUAGUAUCCCUCGACAAAAGAAGCAAAUUACUUGCCUCAAAGUGCCGCUACGAAAAUAGAUACCGGUGCGAGUCGUACCUUCGCAAUUAUUUACUUCGAACAUCCAACAAGCAUCCCGUGAUCAAGUGGCAGGCAACAAGCUGCUACUACCGUAGUAUGCUUAUCACUUGAAAAGUUGAAGUAUCAAUCA